rfam:Schistosoma mansoni strain Puerto Rico chromosome 2, complete genome
GCACUACUGAGGAGUCCCACAAUAGGACGAAACGGCCGUCCAGUGU